GAUCUAGAGUGGACAAUCCCAAUAGCUGUGGGGAGAUGGGAGGCCUUUAGCAUAGCCAUAAUUUGGUUUGCAUUAGUUACUGAUCCUCCUUUUGUGCAGAUCAUAAAGAUCUCCCGAACCUUCUGCCUCACUCCUCCUGUUAUACCUGCCCUCAACUCCAGCACACUUUCUGGGAACUCACCACCCAAAGCCUAAUUGAGAAGCAAGAAGGCCAGCAAAGCAGGUCCAGGGUCCCACAAUCACAGCUCUAAAAGAUUCUCUGUGUGAAGUGUUUGAAGAAGUGGUGGACGUGACACUGAUCUUGGAGCCGCAUUCCCUGACUCUGUUAAGAUGGGCAAUGAAGAUAACCUCCGGUAAAGGAAGUACUAUGCAAGUCUGUUGCUAGCCAAGAAUGGCUGAAGAAUGUUCUCUAUAUA
rnacentral:lncRNA from 1 species